AAUAGUUUUAUUACCUGGGGUCCCACUUUUUCUUAAGUGGCCUUAACUGCUAUGUACUUACGUCAAAAAAUAAGUACAAUGUACUUAUUGUGUUCAUAUAAUAUUGCAAAACACUUUUAUUGCUUUUGAGGUGGGAUACUGGUAAGGUUAGGGACAGGUUUGGUGGUAUGGGUAAGUUUAAGUGUGGGUUAAACUGUAAGGGAUUGGUCAACAGUGUAGCUAUAAAUGUAAUUACAGAAAUUAAUU